rnacentral:lncRNA from 1 species
CUUUAAUCAGAAAAGGUGUAAUAGGGGUGGGGGGAACUAAAAGCCAGAUUAUGUCCCUAAAUAUUUUAGAUUCAACCACUUUUAUAAACCCGCUUUUCACUUUCAGGGAACUGCAAACAUGAUCCUCUGCUAAGCACUGGUGGAAGAGGAGACAUCCUAAAGAGAGAAUAGAAUAGUGUGCCCUUUCCUUCAGCUGUUACACUAUGCUUUGUGUAAUUAGGGACACUGGUCACUAUGCAUUGCUCCAAAGAAGAGGAGAGAAUUUCCACUCUUCACCUGCUAGGGGAAGAGGGCUGUGGACAAGAACUCAGGCCCAUGAAGGCAGCCAGUUGUUUCCAAUGAAGUCCUGGGCAAGUACAAAGAACGACCUACAGGGAAAAGCCAAUGUUUGCCGUGUAAAUGAUAGAAGCAGUCACUUGAAUCAAAGGUGCACUGAUAGCAUCACAACAGUGCAGCUUGAGUGCUCUGAAGGUUGGCGAGAACAUCACUGUCUCCAAACAAAGUGUGGUGCUGGAUUCACUUCAUGCACAGCCUACUACCAUACGUAA